UGUGGAAACUGGUGUUUUCAGAGGAUGA
rnacentral:piRNA from 1 species